UACAGAGGUCUCAAGCGUUGUUCGGAUUCAUUGGGCGUAAAGGGUGCGUAGGCGGCGCGGUAAGUCGGGUGUGAAAUCUCGGAGCUUAACUCCGAAACUGCAUUCGAUACUGCCGUGCUUGAGGACUGGAGAGGAGACUGGAAUUUACGGUGUAGCGGUGAAAUGCGUAGAUAUCGUAAGGAAGGCCAGUGGCGAAGGCGGGUCUCUGGACAGUUCCUGACGCUGAGGCACGAAGGUCAGGGAGCAAACGGG
rnacentral:rRNA from 1 species